GACGAACGCUGGCGGCGUGCCUAAUACAUGCAAGUAGAACGCACAGGAUGCACCGUAGUUUACUACACCGUAUUCUGUGAGUUGCGAACGGGUGAGUAACGCGUAGGUAACCUGCCUGGUAGCGGGGGAUAACUAUUGGAAACGAUAGCUAAUACCGUAUAAGAACAUUUACUGCAUGGUAGAUGUUUAAAAGGUGCAAGAGCAUCACUACCAGAUGGACCUGCGUUGUAUUAGCUAGUUGGUGAGGUAACGGCUCACCAAGGCAACGAUACAUAGCCGACCUGAGAGGGUGAUCGGCCACACUGGGACUGAGACACGGCCCAGACUCCUACGGGAGGCAGCAGUAGGGAAUCUUCGGCAAUGGGGGGAACCCUGACCGAGCAACGCCGCGUGAGUGAAGAAGGUUUUCGGAUCGUAAAGCUCUGUUGUUAAGGAAGAACGUGUGUGAGAGUGGAAAGU
rnacentral:rRNA from 1 species